AAGUCAUGUUAAGGCAGAUCACCCAUCUCCAGAUUGGUCCAGCUCAGGCUGUCUGGAGCGAACGCCAACUUUAAUCCAACCUGCCAUGGGAGAGUGGGGCCAAGACAACGUGCUUUACUACCUCAGCUGCUCCAAGUUCUCAAGCAAACAGCCUUCCCACGCACCUCUUCCCUGUCACUGGCAUCAUUGAACAUUACGAUAUUUUCUCUGUGUUUGCUGAUGGAUGAUGGGCCCUCAUUGCUAUGCGAGUGCCAGAUGAAUCAUAAACCUAUACCAUAUGCCAUCGCAAUUUGCUGAUGGGCCCAAGCUGUUUUGGUCGAUAUAAAAUCCAGUGAUUAUAAAUACUUUAUCCUUGGUGAAUAUGAAAAAAGCACAAGGUGGGAUGGGCCCAGCCUUUCUUAUGGCUUCUAGCAUGGGUCAGCAGGUGAUGAAACAGAUCAACUCUCCAACAUUUUCUGGGCUUGGGAUGAGAAACCACACAAACAAGCUGAAAGGCCCUUGGUCGCAUCCAGGGUGUAUUCCUGCCUUACAUCCAGUGUUCAAGGGUCCGGAUCCACCGCGACCCUGACCAGGGUAAAGCAGUCACUGAAAGUAAGCGACACACGCGGACAUGGCCAGCCACAUGAUGUAAAAAGAAAUGUGAUUCAUCAGACCAGUCCACCUUCUUUCUUCCACCUUCUUUGCUCCACAGUUCAGUUCUGAUGCUCACGUGCCCAUUGCAGCCACUUUCAGUGGUGGACAGGGGUCAGCAUGGGCACUCUGACUGGUCUGCAGAUACACAGCCCCAUAAGCAGCAACCUAUGAUACACUGUGUGUUCUGACACCUUUCUAUCAUAGCCAGCAUUAAAUUUUUCAGCAAUUUGUGCUAAAGUAGCUCUUCUGAGGGAUCAAUCAGACAGGCUAGCCUUCAUUCCCCAAGCACAUCAAUAAGCUUUGGGUGCCCAUGACCCUGU
ensembl:lncRNA